UGGGGAAUUUUGGACAAUGGGCGCAAGCCUGAUCCAGCCAUGCCGCGUGUGUGAAGAAGGCCUUCGGGUUGUAAAGCACUUUCGGACGGAACGAAAUCGCGCGGGUUAAUAGCCCGCGUGGAUGACGGUACCGUAAGAAGAAGCCCCGGCUAACUCCGUGCCAGCAGCCGCGGUAAUACGGAGGGGGCUAGCGUUGUUCGGAAUUACUGGGCGUAAAGGGCGCGUAGGCGGGCGAUCAAGUCAGAGGUGAAAGGCCUGGGCUCAACCUGGGAACUGCCUUUGAAACUGAUAGUCUAGAGUCCGGGAGAGGAUGGCGGAAUUCCCAGUGUAGAGGUGAAAUUCGUAGAUAUUGGGAAGAACACCAGUGGCGAAGGCGGCCAUCUGGUCCGGUACUGACGCUCAUGCACGAAAGCGUGGGGAGCAAACAGGAUUAGAUACCCUGGUAGUCCACGCCCUAAACGAUGUCAACUAGGUGUUGGGGAAGGAGACUUUCUUAGUACCGCAGCUAACGCGUGAAGUUGACCGCCUGGGGAGUACGGUCGCAAGAUUA
rnacentral:rRNA from 1 species